UGGGGAAUUUUGGACAAUGGGCGAAAGCCUGAUCCAGCCAUUCCGCGUGCAGGAUGAAGGCCCCUGGGUUGUAAACUGCUUUUGUACGGAACGAAACGGCGCUUUCUAAUACAGAGCGCUAAUGACGGUACCGUAAGAAUAAGCACCGGCUAACUACGUGCCAGCCGCCGCGGUAAUACGUAGGGUGCGAGCGUUAAUCGGAAUUACUGGGCGUAAAGCGUGCGCAGGCGGUGAUGUAAGACAGAUGUGAAAUCCCCGGGCUCAACCUGGGAACUGCAUUUGUGACUGCAUCGCUGGAGUGCGGCAGAGGGGGAUGGAAUUCCGCGUGUAGCAGUGAAAUGCGUAGAGAUGUGGAGGAAUACCGAUGGCGAAGGCAGCCCCCUGGGCCAAUACUGACGCCCAUGCACGAAAGCGUGGGGAGCAAAC
rnacentral:rRNA from 1 species